rnacentral:rRNA from 1 species
GAUGAACGCUAGCUACAGGCUUAACACAUGCAAGUCGAGGGGAAACGACAUUGAAAGCUUGCUUUUGAUGGGCGUCGACCGGCGCACGGGUGAGUAACGCGUAUCCAACCUGCCCACCACUUGGGGAUAACCUUGCGAAAGUAAGACUAAUACCCAAUGACGUCUCUAGAAGACAUCUGAAAGAGAUUAAAGAUUUAUCGGUGAUGGAUGGGGAUGCGUCUGAUUAGCUUGUUGGCGGGGUAACGGCCCACCAAGGCGACGAUCAGUAGGGGUUCUGAGAGGAAGGUCCCCCACAUUGGAACUGAGACACGGUCCAAACUCCUACGGGAGGCAGCAGUGAGGAAUAUUGGUCAAUGGACGAGAGUCUGAACCAGCCAAGUAGCGUGCAGGAUGACGGCCCUAUGGGUUGUAAACUGCUUUUAUAAGGGAAUAAAGUGAGUCUCGUGAGACUUUUUGCAUGUACCUUAUGAAUAGGGACCGGCUAAUUCCGUG